GACGAACGCUGGCGGCGUGCCUAAUACAUGCAAGUCGAGCGGAAGUUGGAGAGCUUGCUCUUCAACUUUAGCGGCGGACGGGUGAGUAACACGUGGGCAACCUGCCCUGCAGAUCGGGAUAACUCCGGGAAACCGGUGCUAAUACCGAAUAGUUUUCGCCACCUCCUGGUGGCGUACGGAAAGACGGUUUCGGCUGUCACUGCAGGAUGGGCCCGCGGCGCAUUAGCUCGUUGGUGGGGUAACGGCCCACCAAGGCAACGAUGCGUAGCCGACCUGAGAGGGUGAUCGGCCACACUGGGACUGAGACACGGCCCAGACUCCUACGGGAGGCAGCAGUAGGGAAUCUUCCGCAAUGGACGAAGGUCUGACGGAGCAACGCCGCGUGAGUGACGAAGGUUUUCGGAUCGUAAAACUCUGUUGUGAGGGAAGAACAAGUACCAACUAACUACUGGUACCUUGACGGUACCUCACCAGAAAGCCACGGCUAACUACGUGCCAGCAGCCGCCGUAAAAC
rnacentral:rRNA from 1 species